GAUGAGUAGAGCGGCGAACGGGUGAGUAACGCGUGGGAAUCUACCUGGUAGUGGGGGACAACAGUCGGAAACGACUGCUAAUACCGCAUACGUCCUAUGGGAGAAAGUGGGGGAUCUUCGGACCUUGCGCUAUUGGAUGAGCCCAAGUCAGAUUAGCUAGUUGGUGAGGUAAUGGCUCACCAAGGCGACGAUCUGUAGCUGGUCUGAGAGGAUGAUCAGCCACACUGGGACUGAGACACGGCCCAGACUCC
rnacentral:rRNA from 1 species